UGGGGAAUAUUGCACAAUGGGGGAAACCCUGAUGCAGCGACGCCGCGUGAAGGAUGAAGUGUUUCGGCAUGUAAACUUCUCUCAGCAGGGAAGAAAAUGACGGUACCUGACUAAGAAGCCCCGGCUAACUACGUGCCAGCAGCCGCGGUAAUACGUAGGGGGCAAGCGUUAUCCGGAUUUACUGGGUGUAAAGGGAGCGUAGACGGUUGUGCAAGUCAGAUGUGAAAGUCCAGGGCUCAACCCUGGGACUGCAUUUGAAACUGUGCAACUAGAGUGUCGGAGAGGUAAGUGGAAUUCCUAGUGUAGCGGUGAAAUGCGUAGAUAUUAGGAGGAACACCAGUGGCGAAGGCGACUUACUGGACGAUAACUGACGGUGAGGCUCGAAAGCGUGGGGAGCAAACA
rnacentral:rRNA from 1 species